rfam:Heligmosomoides polygyrus genome assembly, scaffold: HPBE_scaffold0002775
GUAAGAAAUCUGGUUAGUUUUCCGCAGUACGCGCAAAACUGAAAAGAUUUGUUACAG